rnacentral:rRNA from 1 species
UACGUAGGGUCCGAGCGUUGUCCGGAAUUAUUGGACGUAAAGGGCUCGUAGGCGGUUUGUUGCGUCGGGAGUGAAAACUUACAGCUUAACUGUGAGCGUGCUUCCGAUACGGGCAGACUUGAGGUAUUCAGGGGAGAACGGAAUUCCUGGUGUAGCGGUGAAAUGCGCAGAUAUCAGGAGGAACACCGGUGGCGAAGGCGGCCAUCUGGACGGAUACUGACGCUGAGACGCGAAAGCGUGGGUAGCAAACAGG